rnacentral:rRNA from 1 species
AUACGGAGGACGCGAGCGUUAUCCGGAUUCAUUGGGUUUAAAGGGUGCGCAGGCGGCCGUGCAAGUCAGCGGUGAAAGCCCGGGGCCCAACCCCGGAAGUGCCGUUGAUACUGCAUGGCUUGAAUGCGGUCGAGGCGGGCGGAACGUGGCGUGUAGCGGUGAAAUGCGUAAAUGUGCCACAGAACGCCGAUAGCGGAGGCCGCUCGCCCGGCCUGCAUUGACGCUCGGGCACGAAAGCGUGGGGAUCGAACAGGAUUAGAUACCCUGGUAGUCCACGCCGUAAACGAUGGGCGCUCGUCGUCGGCGGCAGACAGUCGGCGGCCAAGCGAAAGCGAUAAGCGCCCCACCUGGGGAGUACGGUCGCAAGGCUGAAACUCAAAUGAAUUGACGGGG